UGCGUCAGCCAGGCUGGCCUGCUGCUGACGUACUCCAUCCUGGGGGAAGCCGGCCAGCUGCUAGAGGACGAGGAGGACAUCGCAGCCUACAUAAAGGUCCAGCUGUUUAACAUCAGGGUUUUGGGCCAGGUGCCCGAUGCCCUGCAGGGGCUGUGCUCUGUGGGGCAGCACUGAAGACCCCCCCCUCGCAUGACCAGCUCGGACCCCCUGCCGCAGCCUCGCUCCAGGCCCUCCAGCCACCCGCUCCAGCCCUGCCACCUCCUUCUCCGCCUGAUCUUCCCCAGCCCCUUCAAUUUCGACUACAUGGCUUCGAUCUCUGCAUGGAUAUGGACUUUGCCUCAUACUUCCGACCACCCGGCUUCGAUCUCUGGCCUGGACAUGGACACUGGCUCCGGUUCUGCCUGCAAACACUCAACACCCGGCAGCAGUAGACAGGCCCCACCAUUAAUCAAAGCCUAACCCCGCCCCAUGACCCCUUAGUCCCUCCCACCUGUCUCCGGAAGUCCCGCCCCAUGGGGGUAUUACUUCGUGGUCAAGGCAGCCACACGACUGGAAGCCAGGUGUGUCAUGUGACCCCUCUAAGAACUCCUCCCACCACCCUCUACCAAUCAGGAUGGGUUUCCUCCCGGAA